GUCGUUUUUGUCGACGGUGCGUGUCGGACUUCAUUGGCCGGUGCGCUCUCUGUCGGCGAUGUUACUUUGAGGAAAUCGGAGUGCUCAAAGCAAGCGUUCGCUCGUGACUUCACUAGCAUGGAAUAACACAGAUGGGCUCUUUUUCGCAACGUUGGUCUGCGUCAACUGAGCAACGAUCGAUAGAGACGGUCGGGGGCAUUCGUAUUGCGCAGUUAGAGGUGAAAUUCUCCGAUCUGCGCAAGACGCACUAAUGCGAAAGCAGUUGCCAAGGACGUUCUCUUAUGAUCAAGAGCGAAAGUCGGGGGAUCAAAGAUGAUUAGAUACCGUCGUAGUCCCGACCAUAAAUGAUGCCAACUGAGCGUCGGCGACGCGGCUGUCAGCCGGACGUCGGCGCUCUUGAGAGAAAUUAAAGUCUUUGGGCUCCGGGGGUAGUAUGGUCGCAAGUCUGAAACUUGAAGGAAUUGACGGAAGGGCACCACAAGGCGUGGAUGUUGCGGCUUAAUUUGACUCAACACGGGAAAGCUUACUAGGUUUGGACACUUGAAUGAGGGACAUAUUGAAGCUCUUACCUUUUUUUGUGGAUGGUGGUGCAUGGUCGUUCUCAGCCCGUGGGUUGACCUGUCAGGUUUACUCCGGUAACGCGCGAGACCUCGGUUUGCUAAAUAGACACGGCUGUUUCUGCACCCGUGCUCUUCUUAGAGAGAGUCUUGACGAGAGUUGAGGGAAGUCGAGGCAAUAACAGAUCUGUGAUGCCCUUAGUUAUCCUAGGUCGCACGCGCCAUACAAUGUGGCGCACAACGAGUCUCCUAGGCCGACAGGAAUUCUCGUCGAUGGCAGAUGCAUUGGUCCCGUAAGUUGGCGCAUCUACUUUUCGAAGUGGAUCGUCGAUAUGCGGUCGAUCGAGCGACGCUGUCGCGAGAACCCCUGGGCAAUCUUGCAGAGCGCUACGUGACUGGGMUAGACUUUUGUAAUUGUUGGUCUUGAACGAGGAAUGCCUAGUAAUCGCAGGUCA
rnacentral:rRNA from 1 species